rnacentral:rRNA from 1 species
ACUAAAUAGAUACCCCGGUAGUCCACGCCGUAAACGAUGAGUGCUAAGUGUUAGAGGGUUUCCGCCCUUUAGUGCUGCAGCUAAACGCAUUAAGCACUCCGCCUGGGGAGUACGGCCGCAAGGCUGAAACUCAAAGGAAUUGACGGGGGCCCGCACAAGCGGUGGAGCAUGUGGUUUAAUUCGAAGCAACGCGAAGAACCUUACCAGGUCUUGACAUCCUCUGACACUCCUAGAGAUAGGAUUUUCCCCUUCGGGGGACAGAGUGACAGGUGGUGCAUGGUUGUCGUCAGCUCGUGUCGUGAGAUGUUGGGUUAAGUCCCGCAACGAGCGCAACCCUUGAUCUUAGUUGCCAGCAUUCAGUUGGGCACUCUAAGGUGACUGCCGGUGACAAACCGGAGGAAGGUGGGGAUGACGUCAAAUCAUCAUGCCCCUUAUGACCUGGGCUACACACGUGCUACAAUGGAUGGUACAAAGGGCUGCAAAACCGCAAGGUCGAGCCAAUCCCAUAAAACCAUUCUCAGUUCGGAUUGCAGG